AUCCAGUUGACCAGUCCCAAAUAGGACGAAAUGCGCAUCCUGGAU
rnacentral:hammerhead_ribozyme from 1 species